rnacentral:rRNA from 1 species
UACGGAGGGUGCAAGCGUUAUCCGGAUUCACUGGGUUUAAAGGGUGCGUAGGUGGGCUAGUAAGUCCGUGGUGAAAUCUCUGAGCUUAACUCGGAAACUGCCGUGGAUACUAUUAGUCUUGAAUCUCGUGGAGGUAAGCGGAAUAUGUCAUGUAGCGGUGAAAUGCUUAGAUAUGACAUAGAACACCGAUAAGCGAAGGCAGCUUGCUACACGAGUAUUGACACUGAGGCACGAAAGCGUGGGGAUCAAACAGGAGU